rnacentral:lncRNA from 1 species
GAAAGAAGUUAUCAAAAUUAGAAAAACUGCAAAGUUUGGUGGCGAAAUGUUGUAAAAUACGGAAAAUAUAGCCCUGCGAAGUUGGCAAAUUUGUAUACAUUUCUAUUACGUGCGGAAAUUGGUAACUAAUUUAGUUACCAAUUCACGCACGUAAUACUUUUGUAUACAAAUUUGCCAACUUUGAAGGGCUAUAUUUUCCGUAUUUUACAACAUUUCGCAACCAAACUUUGUAAUAUUACUAAUUUCAAGACGCUCUUUCUAGCUGUGGUGAUAGAUUUCGUUGUUCUUACUUAGAUUAAAAUUUAGUCUAAAGCGCAAGUCGUGCAU